CGGGGAAUAUUGGACAAUGGGCGAAAGCCUGAUCCAGCAAUGCCGCGUGAGUGAUGAAGGCCCUAGGGUUGUAAAGCUCUUUUACCAGGGAUGAUAAUGACAGUACCUGGAGAAUAAGCUCCGGCUAACUCCGUGCCAGCAGCCGCGGUAAUACGGAGGGAGCUAGCGUUGUUCGGAUAUACUGGGCGCAAAGCGCACGUAGGCGGCGUCGUAAGUCAGGGGUGAAAUCCCGGAGCUCAACUCCGGAACUGCCCUUGAAACUGCAAUGCUAGAAUCUUGGAGAGGCGAGUGGAAUUCCGAGUGUAGAGGUGAAAUUCGUAGAUAUUCGGAAGAACACCAGUGGCGAAGGCGACUCGCUGGACAAGUAUUGACGCUGAGGUGCGAAAGCGUGGGGAGCAAACAG
rnacentral:rRNA from 1 species